rnacentral:rRNA from 1 species
AAUAGAUACCCCGGUAGUCCACGCCGUAAACGUUGGGCGCUAGAUGUGGGGACCAUUCCACGGUUUCCGCGUCGUAGCUAACGCAUUAAGCGCCCCGCCUGGGGAGUACGGCCGCAAGGCUAAAACUCAAAGGAAUUGACGGGGGCCCGCACAAGCGGCGGAGCAUGCGGAUUAAUUCGAUGCAACGCGAAGAACCUUACCAAGGCUUGACAUAUGCGAGAACGCUCUAGAAAUAGAGAACUCUUUGGACACUCGUAUACAGGUGGUGCAUGGUUGUCGUCAGCUCGUGUCGUGAGAUGUUGGGUUAAGUCCCGCAACGAGCGCAACCCUCGUCGCAUGUUGCCAGCACGUAAUGGUGGGAACUCAUGUGAGACUGCCGGGGUCAACUCGGAGGAAGGUGGGGAUGACGUCAAAUCAUCAUGCCCCUUAUGUCUUGGGCUUCACGCAUGCUACAAUGGCCGGUACAAAGGGCUGCGAAACCGCAAGGUGGAGCGAAUCCCGAAAAAAGCCGGUCUCAGUUCGGAUUGAGGU